ACGUCGCCUCCCAUUCGUCCACCAAUCAGAGCGGAACAGCGCGGUGCGCGUGAGCAGGAUACAGGGCUGGAGCGGAGUUCGCUAGGGAAGCAGGUUCUCUGUGUGUAGAUAAUAAGUAGAUUCUUCAGGUGUGUAGAGGAGGACUGCAGGUGAUGAUGAUGAAGAUGAAGAUGAAGAGUAUCACACAGAUGUUGGUAAUGAUGAUCCUGGUUGUUGGAUUUGGAUCAGCUGUGGAGGUUCUGAGACCACGAGGAGUUCCACUGUCCAAGCGACAGUUCUACGAGGAGGAUAAACCGUUCACCUGUCUGGACGGGUCUCGCACCAUCCCGUUCGACCGGGUAAAUGAUGAUUACUGUGACUGUAAGGACGGGUCUGACGAGCCAGGUACGGCUGCUUGUCCUAACGGGAGCUUCCACUGUACGAACUCCGGCUACCGGCCCACCUUCAUCCCCUCCUCCCGCAUCAACGACGGCAUCUGUGAUUGCUGUGACACUACUGAUGAGUACAACAGUGGAGCCAAAUGUGAAAACACCUGCAGGGAUCUGGGCCGUAAGGAGCAGGAGGUUCUGCAGAAGAUGGCUGAGAUCACUAAAGAGGGAUUCCUGCUGAAGCAGCAGCUCAUUCAAGAAGGAAAAAACGGACAACAGGAGAAACAGAAUAAGCUGAAUGAGCUGCAGAACAGUAAGAAGGAGCUGGAGGAGAAGGUUGAAGCUCUGAGGACGGUUAAGGAGACGGCGGAGCAGCCUGAGAAAGAGGCUAAAGAGCGCCACCUGAAGGCCUGGGAGGAGCAGAAGGCUGCCGUUCAGGCGGAGAAGGAUAAAAAUAAGAUGGCGGAGGCUUUUCUGGAGCUGGAUGACGAUGCUGAUGGCCUUGUGUCGGUGGUGGAGCUGCAGUCUCAUAUGGAGCUGGACUCGGAUGCCGAUGGUUCUGUGUCGGAGGCUGAAGCUCAGGCGCUGCUGGGAGGAGUGGAUCGGGUGGAUACAGCAGCGUUUGAGAGCGUGUGGAGUAAUAUUAAGGAUAAAUAUGUCUCAGAGUCGCAGCCUGUAGACGCGGCGCCGGCGGACGCUACACCUGAAGAGAUCAAAGAGCCCGUUACCGAUAACGACUCAGAUCAAUACCCCAACGAUGAAGAUCUCCCUGAGGAGGAGGAGGAUGAAGAAGAUGAAGAUGAUGAUUAUCCUGAGGAAGAUGUUGAUAAGGCUCCUCCCACUGCGAGAACUCCAGAGAAGAAAGAUGAAAAUGAGGAGGCCAUGCCACCGUAUGAUGAUGCUACUCAGGCCCUGAUCGAUGGUGCUCAGAAAGCUCGGGAGAACUUCGAGGAGUCGGAGAGAGCUCUGAGAGAUAUGGACGAUCAGAUCAGGAAUAUAGAGAAAGAGAUUUCGUUUGAUUUUGGGCCGGAGGGCGAGUUCUCCUACCUGUACAGUCAGUGCUACGAGCUCACCACCAGCGAGUAUAUAUACAGGCUGUGUCCGUUUAACCGCGUUUCCCAGAAACCCAAGUAUGGAGGUUCAGAAACCAACCUCGGGACAUGGGGAACGUGGGCAGGACCUGAGAGUAAUAAGUAUCUGGUGAUGAAAUAUGAACAUGGUACCGGAUGCUGGCAGGGUCCUAACAGGUCCACCACCGUGAAGUUGACGUGUGGGAAGGAGACGGUGGUGACGUCCACCUCUGAGCCGAGUCGCUGUGAGUACCUGAUGGAGUUCAUCACUCCGGCCGUCUGCCAGGAACCGUCCUCCACCGACCCCCAGCGCAACCACGACGAGUUCUAGAACCCACAAUCUAGAACCGGAGAACCCGACGGUGAGAGUCACAACACGGGGAUUCUUAGUGUGCUUUCACACCAGUAGGUUUCUCUUGGGGACCACACCUCUACCUGUCACCCAAUCAUCUUCACCCGGCUCACGCCUGCACUGAUCAGCCCUGGUUCUGGUUCUGGUUCUGGGGAUAAUCCUGCAGUAGAUAGGUUGUGUCAGUAGUGUUUACCUGAUUUCACUCGUUUAGUUUCACUGAUGAAGAUCUCUGCACACAUUCCAUCAGUUCUUCUCUUCCUAAUAAAGUUCUUUUAAUGUGAUGAUCCACA